AGCGCAGGUGGUUUCUUAAGUCUGAUGUAAAAGGCAGUGGCUCAACCAUUGUGUGCAUUGGAAACUGGGAGACUUGAGUGCAGGAGAGGAGAGUGGAAUUCCAUGUGUAGCGGUGAAAUGCGUAGAUAUAUGGAGGAACACCGGAGGCGAAAGCGGCUCUCUGGCCUGUAACUGACGUUGAGGCUCGAAAGGCGUGGGAGCAAACA
rnacentral:rRNA from 1 species